CCAACCUUAGCUCAGUUGGUAGAGCGGAGGACUGUAGAUCCUUAGGUCGCUGGUUCGAAUCCGGCAGGUCGGA